rnacentral:rRNA from 1 species
AGCAGUAGCCACGGUAAUACGGAGGGAGCUAGCGUUGUUCGGAAUUACUGGGCGUAAAGCGCGCGUAGGCGGUUACUCAAGUCAGAGGUGAAAGCCCGGGGCUCAACCCCGGAACUGCCUUUGAAACUAGGUGACUAGAAUCUUGGAGAGGUCAGUGGAAUUCCGAGUGUAGAGGUGAAAUUCGUAGAUAUUCGGAAGAACACCAGUGGCGAAGGCGACUGACUGGACAAGUAUUGACGCUGAGGUGCGAAAGCGUGGGGAGCAAACAGGAUUAGAGACCCCCGUAGUCCCUGUCUCUUAUAC